UCUUCCGGACCCUAUCCCUCUCCAUUUCUCUCUAAAAUUUCUCUCUCUCUCUCUCUCUCAAAUUGGCCUCUCCAUAGAUUUCUCGUCUUCUCUCACAGAAACCUCGGAAUUCCCUUUCUUCAAAUUCUCGUCUUCACCGGACAUUCCCUGUCCUCCUUCCUUCGAAAGCUCUGUUUCAGAGAAUCUCUUCUCUCCUCAAACAUUCAACAACCUGCAAAUCCCCUUUCUCUCUCUAAAAAAAUCCCACCUAAAAUCUCUUCUCCCCUCAAACAUACAAAAGCCUACAAAUCGCCGUCUCUCUCUCUCUCUAACCCCAGCCAUGUCUGGUUAUAGUGGGGGCUACGCCCCUUCUGCCCCUCCCCUACCUGAAUCUCAAGGGCAUGAGAAACCCACUUCUUCUCACUCUUACGAACAGAACCC
rnacentral:lncRNA from 1 species